UUGCUCUUGCCACCCCGGGAUCCAAUUACCCCCACUGCAUUUUGGUUUCCCAAUUCAGUGACAGCAGUUCCCAUUGCACUGUCUGGACUACAGACAAAAGUGAUCAGAAAGCCCGUCAAGGUUGCUGGUGUCUGUCUCACAAAUUUCUCUGUCAAAGUCACGGUGAAAGGUGUGUCCUCUGGAACCUCCUAAGCAUCUCCAUGAACGGAAUGGGAACAUAUGCAAUGCAAUUACUACCUACAGAGAUCCAAGGGCACUUUAGAUUCCAGAACAGCAAAUAUAUAAGCAGAAUAAACUUCCACCUGAUAAAUACAAACUGAAGAAUCAUUCUUCAGAAGGCACAGUCUCACAUGACAAGAUAAAGGUCAGAUUUGCAAUUUAAUUUCCUCAGAUUCCUUUUUUUCCCAUUCCUAUUUCC